rnacentral:rRNA from 1 species
GAGUUUGAUCCUGGCUCAGAACGAACGCUGGCGGCAUGCCUAACACAUGCAAGUCGAACGCCCCGCAAGGGGAGUGGCGGACGGGUGAGUAACACGUGGGAACCUGCCCAAUGGUCUGGAAUAACCGCGGGAAACUGCGGCUAAUACCGGAUAAGCCCUCUGGCAGCAGGGGGGAAAGAUUUAUCGCCGAUGGAGGGGCCCGCGUCCGAUUAGGUAGUUGGUGGGGUAACGGCCUACCAAGCCUGCGAUCGGUAGCUGGUCUGAGAGGAUGAUCAGCCACACUGGGACUGAGAUACGGCCCAGACUCCUACGGGAGGCAGCAGUGGGGAAUAUUGGACAAUGGGGGCAACCCUGAUCCAGCAAUGCCGCGUGAGUGAUGAAGGCCUUAGGGUUGUAAAGCUCUUUUGGCGGGGACGAUGAUGACGGUACCGCAGAAUAAGCCCCGGCUAACUUCGUGCCAGCCGCCGCCGU